GAUCAAUACAAAAAAACAACACCAUCAAUACCAAUUUGAAACUGCCAACAUGAGUUCCAAAGAUUUAAGCAUUCAGAACGUUCUUAUCUUUACCACAAGGCCACCUCCCCAAACAUCCAAACCUUCAACAACUGGGACUAAAUUUCCAACUAUGCAACAAAUUUUUGGAAGAAAGAAGUGAUUACAUACCAUUUGUGUUAUUUCAUACAGAUUGAUGCAUAAGAAUUAAGAAGGUUUGCUGACUGAAUCAAGGAGAAUGAAUCAGCUAGCUAGUGUAUAUUUGUUCAUUGUAUUGAUUAAUUUAAAUUUGUUCAACUUAUCCUUUGUUGUAGUACUCCUUUAAUUAAUUUGUUUCUCAUUCUAAAAUUUGGAAAAU